rnacentral:rRNA from 1 species
CCUACGGGAGGCUGCAGUCGAGAAUCUUCCCCAAUGGACGAAAGUCUGAGGGAGCGACGCCGCGUGUAUGAAGACGCCCUUCGGGGUGUAAAGUACUUUUUUCUGGGACGAAUUUUGACGGUACCAGAAGAAUAAGAGGUUGCUAACUCUGUGCCAGCAGCAGCGGUAAUACAGAGACCUCAAGCGUUAUCCGGAUUUAUUGGGCGUAAAGCGUCCGCAGGUGGCUUUGUAAGUCGGGGGUCAAAUUCCGGGGCUCAACCCUGGAGCUGCUUCCGAAACUGCAAGGCUAGAGACUGGGAGAGGCAAGCGGAAUUGCCGGUGUAGUAGUAAAAUGCGUUGAUAUCGGCAAGAACACCAAAGGCGAAGGCAGCUUGCUAGAACAGUUCUGACACUCAUGGACUAAAGCGUGGGUAGCGAAAGGGAUUAGAUACCCUUGUAGUC